UCCAACCUCUCUGAAACCCUAAUCACCUCCCACCUUAUCUCACCUUGUUUCCACCGGAAUCCAUGGCAUAUCCGGCCAUAGAUGGUCUGUAAUCACCUUCCUUCACCACUAAACCUGAGCUAUUCGAAGUUUGGAGGCUUGACUUGAUGUUCCACUCUCAGAUCCGUCUCAGACAUGUAGAUCUAUUAUUCUCCGGCUACGCUCGACAAUUCAAGCCCUAGAAGCUUGAUUCCUGACCGUUUCGAC
rnacentral:lncRNA from 1 species